CAUCUCUUGCUUAUGCCUAAGCGCAAAUUACAUCUGAGCUCAACAGCUGCUUGGGUAACAAACAGCCAAAUGAAGACAAAUCACACAUGCACAUUUCAGCAAAACAAAACAGCACCAGAAAAUCGUUUUAUUUAUUUUUUUCAUUUUAUUUUAUCUUAUUUCAUAUUUUCCAAUCUGAUGAGCUGUUCAGAGAUUGCAUUAAGGAAAUACACUUUGCACUUAAUGAAGCAGAGCGCGAGCUAGCGGGCGGAACUGCUGAUGCAGACGCGCAGACGCUAAUUUUGCGGGGACUUUUUCAAACGAGACCCGCGAUGGGGGCCUCAGACAGCAGUAGAGUCAGACCUGAGUUCAGAGUCGGGUCAGAUACGGCUCAGGCGCGUGAACGCCAGAUCCAAUACAGCAUCGGCUCCUAUUAGAGGCUAGCCCUUUCAUCAGGAGUGAAAAUGCAGAAUCGAAGUAAUCAUAUCUUUUUUUUUUUUUUUUCCUAACUCUCAUUUCGGAAUCACUUCAAGCCAUCUAUUCCGCCCUCGGCAUAUUGCUUUCACUAAAUGGGCAAGGUUAAGGGAUUGAGUUCUUGAAGCAGAACAUGAUUUGCUUCUUAAUAGAGAAGUAGAUAUGAGAGGCAAAAAGGAAGGAGAGGUGGAGCGAGGGAAGGGGGAAAGAGAGAGACAAACAGAGAGAAGGAAGGCGAGAGUCGAUGGAAGAGGAGAGGGAGGAGGAGAAAGAAGGAGUGUGGCUGGAACAUCAGUCGGUUCCGGAAUGGGGGAUGAACUAAUAUCAUUUUAAACUGCAGAGCCAGAACCAUGAUAUCAGGCACAAUGAAAAAGCCCAAAGUGUUGGAAUGACAGCACACCAUAAAGUUAGGAAAGCAGGGGCCACUAACUCUAUUUGGAGCCUUACACAUAAUUAUUACAUAAUUUACAGUUACAUAAUAAUUAUCCCCAUGUAUCAAUGUGUCAUCUGUGUCAAAAGCUCAAAUGGCAGUAGAUUGGUGAGUAGCACCUCAAGUUUGCAUGACAUAUCCUCAGCAGUGAGGGGAUAAAGACAGUACUGUAAAAUUCAAAAGUUGUUUGUCA
ensembl:lncRNA